GUUAUAUGCUUCAAAGCUCUGAAGUUGUUCUAUUACCAAGAUAAUGCCUUGUAAAAAGAAGGCUUAUUCACAACCCUUAAAGUGAAGCUUAUCGUUUCAGGGGCCGUGGUGUAUACUUAAUACCACAAAAGCGUCCUCUUCCCUAGUUCCUAGAACGACUACCGUAAAUACUGCUAUCCCAAUAGUAAAUGAGGCCUCUUCGGAGUCUGAAACUACAAAGUCGUCGUUUUUGAAAGUUCGCUGUUUAGUU